CCCUGCACUGAUAUCUUGAAUAGAAACUUACAGACACUUUGUAGCCCAAGACUGGUUGCCCACUGAAGCUAAGCAGGGUUGAGCCUGGUCAGUACCUGGAUGGGAAACCUCCUGGGAAAACGAUGUUGCUGCUGGAA
rnacentral:rRNA from 1 species